GGCCUUAUAGUUUAAGCUAAAAAUUUUAAAUUGCAAAUUUAAAGAUGAUGAUUUCUGGGGUUU
rnacentral:tRNA from 1 species